AGCCAUCAUUUAAAGAAAGCGUAAUAGCUCACUGGUCGAGUCGGCCUGCGCGGAAGAUGUAACGGGGCUAAACCAUGCACCGAAGCUGCGGCAGCGACACUCAGGUGUUGUUGGGUAGGGGAGCGUUCUGUAAGCCUGUGAAGGUGGCCUGUGAGGGUUGCUGGAGGUAUCAGAAGUGCGAAUGCUGACAUAAGUAACGAUAAAGCGGGUGAAAAGCCCGCUCGCCGGAAGACCAAGGGUUCCUGUCCAACGUUAAUCGGGGCAGGGUGAGUCGACCCCUAAGGCGAGGCCGAAAGGCGUAGUCGAUGGGAAACGGGUUAAUAUUCCCGUACUUGGUGUUACUGCGAAGGGGGGACGGAGAAGGCUAUGUUGGCCGGGCGACGGUUGUCCCGGUUUAAGCGUGUAGGUGUGUGUUCCAGGUAAAUCCGGAACACUGAGGCGUGAUGACGAGGCACUACGGUGCUGAAGCAACAAAUGCCCUGCUUCCAGGAAAAGCCUCUAAGCAUCAGGUAACAUCAAAUCGUACCCCAAACCGACACAGGUGGUCAGGUAGAGAAUACCAAGGCGCUUGAGAGAACUCGGGUGAAGGAACUAGGCAAAAUGGUGCCGUAACUUCGGGAGAAGGCACGCUGACACGUAGGUGAAGUGAUUUACUCAUGGAGCUGAAGUCAGUCGAAGAUACCAGCUGGCUGCAACUGUUUAUUAAAAACACAGCACUGUGCAAACACGAAAGUGGACGUAUACGGUGUGACGCCUGCCCGGUGCCGGAAGGUUAAUUGAUGGGGUCAGCGCAAGCGAAGCUCCUGAUCGAAGCCCCGGUAAACGGCGGCCGUAACUAUAACGGUCCUAAGGUAGCGAAAUUCCUUGUCGGGUAAGUUCCGACCUGCACGAAUGGCGUAAUGAUGGCCAGGCUGUCUCCACCCGAGACUCAGUGAAAUUGAACUCGCUGUGAAGAUGCAGUGUACCCGCGGCAAGACGGAAAGACCCCGUGAACCUUUACUAUAGCUUGACACUGAACAUUGAGCCUUGAUGUGUAGGAUAGGUGGGAGGCUUUGAAG
rnacentral:rRNA from 1 species